rnacentral:rRNA from 1 species
UACGUAGGGGGCUAGCGUUGUCCGGAUUUAUUGGGCGUAAAGAGCGUGUAGGCGGCCAGGUGGGUCCGUUGUGAAAACUCGAGGCUCAACCUCGAGACGUCGAUGGAAACCAUCUGGCUAGAGUCCGGAAGAGGAGAGUGGAAUUCCUGGUGUAGCGGUGAAAUGCGCAGAUAUCAGGAAGAACACCUAUGGCGAAGGCAGCUCUCUGGGACGGUACUGACGCUGAGACGCGAAAGCGUGGGGAGCAAACAGG